UUUUCAAAUUGUAACUUUUCUCUUUCUUUGUUACUUACUUAUGUGGUAACUCCACGUUUGUGUAAUAAUUCAGACACGUUCACGGUAAUAAUUCUUACAAGAUAAAAAUAUACAGAAUAUGCAGAGUAAAGUACUCAAUGAUAAUAUCUCGUAGCUAAAACUGAUCUCUAUUUAAGUUCUAUCUUUUAUUCCCUCCAAUAUUAGACGCAUGCAAAAGUUUCAAGCCCUUUUAUCAAUUUUACAUUUUCAACUACAUCACUUUCAAUACAUUACAAAUUGAUGUUCGAAACACUUGGUACGAUUUCCUGUCAACUUUCAAAUUUCGUCGCGAAGAAAUCACACAAAACACUUUCGUAUUUCUGUAAUAUUUCGAAAGUGUUGUCUGACUAAAGAGAGCUAAAUACAUCGAACUUCUCAGCCCGAGUUAAAGAUAGUGAUUCAAGUCACAUGCGGCUUAGGCGUUGUGGUCGUUGCUCAUUGUGCUCAUUGUGGUUUUGUGAAGCGGUCGCAAAUCGAUCACAAAGUUGGCGUUUCAGACAAAUCGAUACCAACCAAACAAUUGCGCAAAAAGCAAGCUAGAACGACGUUCGUUGACGGGAUAAACCAGAGAAUUACUGCUAUCAGCUAUAGGAGUACCAUGAUGUAUACCAGAUUAGAUGUCCAUUUCGUAUAGGCAAUUAGAUAGUAAUUGCAUGCAGCAGGCUUCACUGUACCGCAGAUGAUACCAACAACAGGAGGAACAAGAGCCACUUGUUUCAAUUAUGAAGAAAUAUUACUUAAUUUCCUGCCGCUAUUCCCUAUAUAAGAUAUUAUUUCACUAUAUAGAAUAUUAUCUCAGGAUCAUUGUAUAUAGGAUCACUGUAUAUUAUUAUCAGGAUUUAGUAGCUUGUUAUCAUUUUUCGUCGUUAUUACCUCGAUAGUCAUCUUCCAGAAACGCUUAUGGUAAUCUUCAGUCCAAUAAAUUCUGCAUUCGCUCGGCCAAUCUGAUUCGAGUCGAAAGAGAUUUCCGGUUAAAAUUCAAAGUAAAAUUUGUUCGUGAUAUAUUCUUGACCGAGUUUCUCAAUAGGUUUAUCUACAAAAAUUACUUGAACAAGUAUCUAAAAGUAAAAUUUCAAUGCGUAAAUGGUAUAUAUUUAGCAUUGUAAUUAGCAAGCAUAAAAUCGAUAUAUUACGCGAAAUAAAAUGACAAAUCAACUAUAUUUCAGUCAUUAUGUCGUGUUACACGUACGUCACGCGCGUUAGUUGUCGUUUAUAGGUUGCACGAUGCUUUACUAAUAUUUAGACUGUAGAUUUCACUUGUAUAAAUGAACGUAAUAACCGUUGACAUGGAAUUAUUGAUCGCGUUGACUGAAAUAAUGAAUUAAACGUUGAUUUCAGUUUA